rnacentral:rRNA from 1 species
UACGAAGGGGGCUAGCGUUGCUCGGAAUGACUGGGCGUAAAGGGCGCGUAGGCGGUUUGGACAGUCAGGCGUGAAAUUCCUGGGCUUAACCUGGGGGCUGCGCUUGAUACAUCCAGACUUGAGUGGGGAAGAGGGUCGUGGAAUUCCCAGUGUAGAGGUGAAAUUCGUAGAUAUUAGGAAGAACACCAGUGGCGAAGGCGGCUCACUGGUCCGGUACUGACGCUGAGGUGCGAAAGCGUGGGGAGCAAACAGG